UACGUAGGGGGCAAGCGUUGUCCGGAUUUAUUGGGUUUAAAGGGUGCGUAGGCGGCUUUGUAAGUCAGUGGUGAAAUACUCUAGCUUAACUAGAGGGGUGCCAUUGAUACUGCAGAGCUUGAGUACAGAUGAGGUAGGCGGAAUUGACGGUGUAGCGGUGAAAUGCAUAGAUAUCGUCAAGAACACCGAUAGCGAAGGCAGCUUACUGGGCUGUAACUGACGCUGAUGCACGAAAGUGUGGGGAUCAAACAGG
rnacentral:rRNA from 1 species